rnacentral:lncRNA from 1 species
AAUUUUUCUGUAUUUUUUCUUUCUAGUGAAAGUACAAAGUUAUCCAGUAUAAAGUACAUUAAGGAUUUCAGCAAAGAUGAACCAUUCCUAGAAAAUGACGAACCUAUUUAUGCAGAAAUUGGCUACAUAGAUAUGGACAGGGCAAAAGCACUCAAAGCUACCCAGAAUGAGUAUUUAAGCCCAGACUCUGUAAAUUCUCUGAAGCGCAUUCAAAAUGAAGGGACAAAUGACCGCAAAUCUACCGAGAAUGUAUAUUUAAACCCAUUGUCAGUAAAUUCCCUGAAGCACAUUCAAAAUGAAGCACCAAUUGGAUGAAGUUCUACAACCAUGAAAGAACGAGUUUACUGAGGAUUCUUUACAGG